CCUACGGGUUGUAUCCGUGGGGAAUAUUGGACAAUGGGGGGAACCCUGAUCCAGCCAUGCCGCGUGUGUGAAGAAGGCCCUCGGGUUGUAAAGAACUUUCAGUGAGGAAGAACGCCUGGUGGUUAAUACCCAUCAGGAAAGACAUCACUCACAGAAGAAGCACCGGCUAACUCCGUGCCAGCAGCCGCGGUAAUACGGAGGGUGCGAGCGUUAAUCGGAAUUACUGGGCGUAAAGCGCGCGUAGGUGGCUUGAUAAGCCGGUUGUGAAAGCCCCGGGCUCAACCUGGGAACGGCAUCCGGAACUGUCAAGCUAGAGUGCAGGAGAGGAAGGUAGAAUUCCCGGUGUAGCGGUGAAAUGCGUAGAGAUCGGGAGGAAUACCAGUGGCGAAGGCGGCCUUCUGGACUGACACUGACACUGAGGUGCGAAAGCGUGGGUAGCAAACAGGAUUAGAUACCCGAGUAGUC
rnacentral:rRNA from 1 species